GGAGGCGGAAGCGGGUGGAUCGCUUGAGCUCAGGAAUUCCAGACUAGUUUGGGCAACAUGGUGGAACCCUGUCUCUACAAAAAUACAAAAAAUUAGCUGGGCACGGUGGCACGCACUUGUAGUCUCCGCUACUUGCCGGGCUUAGGCGAGAGGAUCGCUCGGCUGCAGCCUCGACCUCCUGGGGCAAUCCAUUUCAGCCUCUCAAAGUGCUGAGAUUACAGGAAUGAGCCAUCGUGCCUGGCUUUGCACUAUAUUUUAAUACUUUUUUUGAAAAUGGAAACUUUUACAGGCAAUUCACUUCCUUCAAACUAAUGAUAAGGAAGUGAUGCUGUUCUGUUCUGUUUUGUUGUUUUUGUGUUUUUUUUUUUUCUCUUUUGAGAUGGGGUCUUGCCCAGGUUGGAGUGAGGUGGUGCAAACAAGGCUCACUGCAGCCUUGACCUUCUGGCUCAAGGAAUCCUUCCCCAUCAGCCUCCCCGGUAGCUAGGACUACAGGUGCAUGCUACCACGCUUGGCUAAUUCUUUUUUUGAAAUGGAGUCUCACUCUGUCUCCCAGGCUGGAGUGCAGUGGUGCAAUCUCGGCUCACUGCAGGCUGGUCUCAACCUCUGACUUCGGAUGGUCCACCCACUUCUGCAUCCCAAAGUGCUGCGAUUACAAGUGUGACCCACCGCGCCUGGCGAUUUUGCUCAUUUUAGAUACUAGAACUUUUUAAUUAAAUUUUUUUUUUUUUCCUGAGAUGGAGUCUUUGUCUCCAGGCUGGAGUGUAGUGGUGUAAUCUCAGCUCACUGCAACCUCCGCCUCCUGAGUUCAAGCGAUUCUCCUGCCUCAGCCUGCCAGAGUUGCUGGGACUACAGGUGCGCACCACCACACCCAGGAGUUCAAGGCUGCAGUGAGCCAUGAUCGUACCACUGCACUCCAGCCUGGGCAACACAGCGAGACCCUGACUCCACAAAUAAAUAAAUCAACAUCAUAUGAUCUGUACCAGGGUAUAGGCAGGUGCUAUGAUCCCCACUUUUCAUCCUCAACUCUAAGUUGAGUCAUACAUCAACCUCUAGUAAAAAGUGGCAUGCUCUCAGUCAAAGGGGUAAGCCCAAACCACGUGGAGAGAAUCUUAUCUCUUUUGAGAGCUAAUAUAAAAAGAAUUCCUCCUAGGCAUAAAAAUAUUGUGACAUCAGUUACUUAGGCUAAACAUGCCUAUUAUGCUAAGUGAGUUAUUAACAAUAAAUACUUUAACUCUGUGCCAUGUUAAUUAUCAUAAUCUGAUUUAUAAUUUGUUUUAACCUUAGGUUAUAUAUACCUUGAAGCCAUUUAUAUUUUGGUAUACUUGUAAUAAUUACUAUACACUGGACUAUAUAUAUUGGACUAAACACGGAGAGUCAAAAAAGAGUAUGUGGUCAGAGUAGAAAUCAUGCCCUAGCUUCCUUCCUGUCUGCCUCCCACCUUGAGUAGAAGUGGUAGAAAAAGUAAUUACCUAAGAUUUUUUGGAUUCUGGUUUGUGGAGAAGCACCCUUAUAUUUAGGCUGAUGGGCGGUGAAAUUAGAAAGUAUUUUUUGUGAUUUAGAAUUUUAUACGGAGAUGUUCAUUGUGAUUAAUUAUUCUUUGUAUUAGCAGAUUUUUGCUUUUUAUAGCUGCAUGAUUUCUUGUUUAUUAUUCAUUCAUUAUUGUCUAUUAAUAAAGAAAAACUUUAUUUCACUGAAGCAGUGAUAUAUAAUCCAACUUGGAUUUUUAAAUAAUGACUGACUUUUUUCUUUGGGAAUACAUUACUGUUAAAAAUGUAAUUAUUAGAUACAUUACUUUUAAUGAAUAUAAGUGGUAUAAUUAGAAGGCUGAAAAGAAUCCUUGGAAACGUGAGUUUAAUUUGAUAGCUAAGAAACUGAGGACAAGAUACUUAUUCUUUGUAGCGUAUUUUCUAAUGUCAUUUCAUUGUCUCACCAAGAAAUACUUGCAUAAAGCAAGUUCAAUUACAGCAUCUGUUGAAUAUUUAAGGUUGGGUAAAGUGGGUGAGUUUAACAGAUAUUUUCCCUUAUUUCUUUUAGGCGAAUCUGGAUUGGGAAAGUUGACAUUAAUCAACUCAUUAUUCCUCCCAGAUUUGUAUUCUCCAGAGUAUCCGGGUCCUUCUCAGAGAAUUAAAAAGCCCGUACAGGUCUAGAUAUUGGUAUUUUUAAUUGAUGAUAAGCUGGAAUAAUAUUAAUACACACAAAGCACGUGUUGUAACUUUUAUUAUGCUUCCUUAGAGGAGUUUGAAAAAUCACAUUUGAGAAGAGGAUUGGAUCCUAGCCAUAACAUAAAUAUAAGGGUGGAACCAAAGUUUUAAUCAAAGAAGGUGGUGUUCAGUUGCUGCUUACAAUAGUUGAUACCCCAGGAUUUGGAGAUGCAGUGGAUAAUAGUAAUUGCUGGCAGCCUGUUAUCAAUUACAUUGAUAGUAAAUUUGAGGACUACCUAAAUGCAGAAUCGCGAGUGAACAGAUGUCAGAUGCCUGGUAACAGGGUGCAGUGUUGUUUAUACUUCAUUGCUCCUUCAGGACAUGGACCAUUACAUAACUGAAGACUCCCACCUUCAGGCAGAAUUGGGUAGUACGUGUUUGUAACCACCUGGCAUUGCCUUUUGUUGAGGUAAUUUCAGUUUUUAUUAUUAUUAGUAGUAGUAGUAUACUUUAAGUUCUACGGUAUAUGUUCACAAUGUGCAGGUUUGUUACAUAUGUAUACAUGUGCCAUGUUUGUUUGCUGCACCCAUUAACUGGUCAUUUACAUUAGGUAUUUCUCCUAAUACUAUCCCUCCUCCAUCCCCCACCCCAUGACAGGCCCUAGUGUAUGAUAUUUCCCGCCCUGUGUCCAAGUGUUCUCAUUGUUCAAUUCCCACCUAUGAGUGAGAAACACCUAUGCGGUGUUUGGGUUUCUGUCCUUGCGAUAGUUUGCUCAGAAUGAUGGUUUUCAGCUUCAUCCAUGUCCCUGCAAAGGACAUGAACUCAUCCUUUUUUAUGGCUGCAUAGUAUUCCAUGGUGUAUAUGUGCCACAUUUUCUUAAUCCAGUCUAUCAUUUUAUGGUGUUCUCAGUUUACAUAUUUAAAUCACUAAACUGACUAUUUGACUUAAAAGGCUCAAAAAAAGUCAUCUCAAAAAUACAACACACUGCAUAACCUUUUAUAAGUAUUUGUGUAGCUUCUUGAAUUUAUAUUUUUAAAUCAUUCUCAUUUAACUUGUCAGGGCCUUUUCCUGAAAGCCAGCAGAGUGAAAUCUUAACCUGCAGUUAAGCCAAUAAAAUUUGUCAGCUUAUAACCAAUUUUAUUAUUUUAGAUUUUCUGGACUCUCUCCAACUAUAGUAAUUCUCAUGAAAUCACAUUCCUGCCAUCCCCUUGGGGAAAAUUUUAUUUCUUAAAAUUGCAUGGGAAAUGAGAGCUUUUUUAAAAGAAAAAAAUUUUUAUAUUCAAAUGAUAUGUAGUGGCUUUGUGCCAUUUCUUAUUUGUCACAAGGGGUAAGAUGUUUAAAAUUGCUAUAUCUUACAUAUAAAAAUGUACCUUUGAAUAAUUUCUCAGUUUAACUAUUUUUAGAAAUGGAGCAAAGUUUUGCCCAUUGGUACAUGAUAUUGUGGAUUAAGUGAAAGAAUAUGAGGCUGGGCGCGGUGGCUCACGCCUGUAAUCCCAGCACUUUGAGAGGCUGAGGCAGGCGGAUCACCUGAGGUCGAGAGUUCAAGACCAGCCUGACCAACAUGGAGCAACCCCGUGUCUACUAAAAAUACAAAAUUAGCUGGCCAUGGUGGCGCAUGCCUGUAAUCCCAGCUAAUAGGGAGGCUGAGUCAGGACAGUUGCUUGAACCUGGGAGGUGGAGGUUGCGGUGAGCUGAGAUCACACCAUUGCACUCCAGCCUGGGCAACAAGAGUGAAACUCCAUCUCAAAAAAAAAGAAUAUGACACAGAAUUUUAUGUAUAGAGUUCCAGGUACCCUGCUUACUACAGACUGAAAUUCUAUGCAGUCUAACACAUGAAUCAGAGCCUUUCCAUCUUGUCUGGGUAGUCCCUAGAUUCACUUUUUAGAGGGUUUUGUUUUUAGAGUGAUUAUAAAUUCGUCCAACAGUGCACUUUCAGUGCCUUCUACCUCCCUCUACCAAGUAUGAACUGCAUGCAUGGCUGAUUUAUGAUUUCGGCUAUUAUCGCUUCCUGUGCGUUGUUCACUAUUUUGUAACUGUUAUUAAAGUAAAAUACUGACUUGGAACAUGAAUUUUAAAAUGGUGUUUUAUCCUUCUAGUAUUGAUUCCCAGUUUUAGAAAAAUUGGUGUCAUCCAGUGAGUUUUAUACAGAAGGAUUUUUUCCCUUAGAAAUAUAUACAUACAUACAAAAAAAAUUUGUCAUUUUCCCUGUAGUUGUUUAUUAUGCUGUAGAAUUUGAGGCUAAAUAGUCUUUUCUCUCUACUGUGGGUUUAUCUUCUAGAAAUGAUAAAGGAUUUUCUAUUGCUAAAAAACAAGAUUUAAAAACUAAAUUUGUUGAUGAAAAGACUAGCCAAUAUAAAUCUAAAUGGACAGAGGGAAAAAAUUCAACCGGAAUGUAAUACACGUGAACUAAAUGUUUUCUGUUGCUGACGUUUUGUAGGCUUCUGAAAUUUAAUGAGACUUUUACAAGGUUUACCUUUUUUCCUAAAGUUUAAUUUUCAAACUGACUUAAAUGUUUUUUGACCCUUUGGUUAUAUUUAAGAAGUUGACUUCUUUAAUUUCCUUGUCAUGUUUAUUUUUAAAUAUCUUUCUCUUUAAAAGUUGGGAUACUAUAAUAAAUAUUCAGCAAGUAUUUUGCAUUUAAAUAUAAAAUCUUGUUAUUUGGAUUUUAAUACUUUAUAUUAAAUGCCUUUAAGAUUUAUUAAAAUUUUAGAUUAACUGAACUCUGCUUUUUUGUCACUGGAUUAAUAAGCAGGCUUGUAUCUGACAUAAUAGCUUAAUAAGGCAGUGACAAUUUAAAUUUGUCAUGAGUAUAAAUUGAAAAAUCAUAAUUUAGAAAUCGGAGAUUGAAUAUUUCAUGGCAUUUAUAUUUAGUGUUUUAUAUAAUGAUUAAUGAAAAGAAGCAAAACUUAAAUUUUUUUUCAAAGAUGGAUAGGUUCAGGCCAGAUGCAGUGGCUUACUCCUCUAAUCCCAGCACUUUGGGGACCAAGGCAGAAGGAUUGCUUGAGGCCAUAGACUAGGCAACAUAGUGAGAUCCUGUCUCUACAAAAAAUUAAAAAAUUAAUUGGGGCUGGGCGCAGUGGCUCACGCCUGUAAUCCUAACACUUUGGGAGGCUGAGGCAGGUGGAUCACCUGAAGUCAGGAGUUCAAGACCAGCCUGGCCAACAUGGUAAAACCUCAUCUGUACUAAAAAUACAAAAAUUAGCCGGGCGUGGUGGUGGAUGCCUGUAAUCCCAGCUACUCGGGAGGCUGAGACAGGAGAAUCACUUGAACCCGGGAGGCGGAGGUUGCAGUGAGCCAAGAUUGUGCCACUGAACUGCAGACUGGGCAAUAAGAGCGAAACUCAAAAAAAAAAAAAAAAUUAGUUGGGCAUGGGGGUGCACUCCUGUAGUCCUAGCUACUCAGGAGUCGAAGUGGAAGAAUUGGAGGCUGUGGUGAGCUAUGACUACGCCACUUCCUCAAAUAUAAGGAAGAAUAUAAUCUGACUAAAGGAUUGUCUUUAAAUUUAAAAAACUUAGCCUUAUGAAAACUUAUUACAUUGUCCUCAUUUUGACAUAGAUCAGUAAAAAGUUCAUUGAAGCCUGACAUUUGCAGUCCACUGGACCAGAUGACCUUUAGUGUUCUUUCUAAGAUUCAAUUGCUAUGAAUUUGGAACCUUGCUACAGGAUACCCAGUAUUCAUUUGUUUGUCUGUUAUAGUGCAUUGGAGUGUAUUCUUAUUUUUGUUUAAUUAAAUGUACAUUGGGCAUCUCUCAUAUCACAGGUGAAUCUCCCCAGUGAUAGACAAAGACAUUUAAAAUAUUUAGGAGUAAUAAUGGCCCACAAACAAGGUAAUGGUGAAAGAAGACAUGUGGAUCAAUGUGUGUUGAAGGAAGUGUUACAUAUAGGGACAACUUUGAGGUACAUUUGGGGACUUGAGAAGUGAAUUCUGGAAAUAGGUAGCAUUUAUGUAGUAGUUUAAAAAAUAUAUGAUGCUGGGAAAUCACUCCACCUACUCCCUGCAAAAUGCCCCAAACCUUUUGUUUCUGAUGUACAUGGUAGGCAUUCAGUAAGUUUAGUAAAUAUCCUUUUCUGAAGGUGACUGUAAGUUUACUCAUCUGUGGCUGUUACGGAUUUACACUAGUAGUGCUUAUGAAGACCACUGAACUUCUUUCUUAAGAUCAGGCAGAAGGUUUUUUCAAGGUGAUCCAGAGAAGGAAAUUCACUUUAUGUUGCAUUUCUGUAGUGUUCUACCAAAUCCAAAUGCAUUUACUCUUUAUGAUGAGGUAGUUUGAGUUUUUAAUUUAUAUUUAUUGAGUGCCUACUAUGGCCAGAUUUUGGGGAUAUCUCAGAAAACAAAGUUCCUUUUCCUAUGAUUGAAACUAAUAGCAAACAAAUAUGUAAUAUUGUUAGUAGUAUUACAGUAAACAAAAAUGAAGCAGGAUAAAAGGGUAGAGAAUAAUAAGAAUAAUAGUUCAGAUAGGGUCAGGGUGUCUUUGACGAGGUGAUAUUUUAGCACAAUCCAGAGGGGGAAUAGCAUUCCAGCUAGAGAGGAUAGUAAGCACAAAGGCAUUCUUAAAUUCUUCUCAUGAUGAGAUAAUUGCUGCAGUGAGUGGGUCCGUAACUUUUUGUGUGUUACGCACUGUACUUUCUUACAUUUUGGACUAUUGGCAUUUGCUAAAAUAUUCCUUUGACCAGUUCCAUUCUCUGAUUUUACCUUGAAAAACAAGCCCCUGCUUUUUAUGAUAGCUCUUUUUCUUGUUUUCCUUCUCUGAUUUUUAGGUUGCUAAAUGUGAUUUGCAUACUUUAUCACUUAAUCUCACUUAGUCUUGUCAACAACCUUAUAGUGGUAGGUGUCUUAUUUAUCAGAUGAAGAAGUAGAGUUUAAGUUACUUUCUCAAGCUUAUCAAGUAUUAGAAAAACUGGGAUUCUAAUCUCUCUGUUUUAUCACUUUUUUCUGUCUUGCAUGACUUCUCUUCUAUCACUGUUUGUGGGCAGUAUUUCCUCACGGAAGUAGGCCUUGGCCAGUUCUUUUCAAUCAACUGUUAAUCUCUGAGCUCUAGCUCCAUCUGUAUCUUAAGUCUGGGCUCUAGGUCUGUGCUUUGGUGUGGAAUUUUGAACUUCUCACAUCUCUACUCUUAGCUCAUGCCUCUAAACCCAAUAUAUCCAAAACUGAUGUUUGUUCACAAACUGACUUCAUUUUAUAACAAUUCCACUUAUUCAAUGGGAUAACCAUUCUUCUGGUCCCUGAUAACCAAAACAUUGGAAUAGUCUUUGAUUUCUCUCUCUUUCUUCAUCCUCCACAUCUUAUCAGUCCCCAGGAACUGUGGUCUUGGUUUCAAGUGUCCAUUCUGGUUGCUACUAUUCUGAUGAAUGGAUUUCAUCACUUGAUACCUGAACUUUUUCACUGGUCUUCUACUGAGCUCUAUGUAUUCUCUCCUCAUCCUUCAGUCCCCACACUGUUUUAACCCUCCAACAUCUUAGAGUCAUGUGAAGUGACUUAUCAAAACCAGAGACUCAGGCAGUCACAGCCCUUCAUCAUUUUAUCUUAUCCUAUAUAUCCAAGAUCAUCAUGUGCUUUUAAAACUCUCCCUUGUCCACAAGCCAGGAUUCUCCAGCCUUUUCCUAUGCUUCUCUUCUUCUCUCCCCUGUUACAACAACUUGAAGUUCCUCCAAGGCCCCAUUGGAGCCCCAUCUCCUUCACCAAGUCUUUCCUCUUUACUCCAACUCAUUCCAGCUCAUCGUUGCAUUCCUAUGGUGUUUGCCACUGCACCUAUGUACUGACUUGUGCCAUUCCUUAGUGGUUUCCCACGUACCUUCCUGUUGAGAUGGUAAAUGGAGGAAGAUCUCAGUUCAGGCUUCCUAAUGUUUCUUACCCUUCUUAGUACAUGGCAUGCAGUGGGCAUCUAGGCAGCACUUAAAUACUUAAUUUAUUGGCUUUGGUCAUUUUGAAUAUUGCUAUUAACUUUGAAUUGAAUGUUGCAAUUAAAAAUGAAGGCCAAUAAGAUCCAUAAAAAUAUAUCUGCAUAUUCAGUUUAGAUCCUGAACUCAACAGUUUUCUUCUAAACUUUGUUUAUAUUCAUAUAGUGCCUAGUGCCUAUACAGCUCCCUGAGUUAGGUAGGUGAGGUAUUACUAUCUUUGACUUUUAUAUUACAUUUCACAUCAGACAUAUUUGUGAAAUAAAUUUUAUAAGUAGUCUGAAGCCAGAGAGGCUAAGUGACUAAUCCAGGGUCUCUUGGUUAGUAUUUGGCAUAGACAGAACUAAAAUUUUGGGCUUCUUUCUCAUUCUGGUUCUCAUCUAGUACCUUUUCAUUUGAGUGCUGGAAAAUGUAUCCCAGUCAACUGAAUUGUGGAGUCAUAUUGCCUCCCCCUUACCAACCAAGUGAUGGCAAUACUAGGAAGAGGGGCAAAAGAAAAGUCAGAAAUAUAAGUGAUAAAAUAAAUGGAAAUGUUUGAAAUGGAUCAUCGACCUCCUUUUACCUAUUUUAGCACCUCACAAAUAUCCCACUCUGACAGUGCUUUGUUAGUUGUUUAUAAAAUAUUCCUUAGGAGAUUGGUCUUGCAUAAGACAUGCUUUUACCGUGGUCCUUUUCCCGGUAAUAGUCACUGUCAGGGACAAAAAGUGCCUGAUUGUGUUCUGUUUGUCAUGUAGGUGGGAGGGAAAGAGGGAGAGAAAGCUGAGUUGAACUGAAGCAGAGCUUUUUACAGCUCUAUUGUUCUACUGUCAGAGAGCAAUUAUACUCCAACUUCCAUCCACCUCAGACAUCCCAACCUCCUCCUCCUGCCAAUGCUUCCCCACACACUUAACAUACAGCCACACAACCGAGUUCUCCGGGGAGAAUAGGGUGCUCUUUAAUACCUCCCUCUGCCCUUCAGUGAGUUCAGGGCUCUGCUUUUUAACUGCUAAUGUAUUUUAGUAAAGUUUGGCAAUUCAAGCUUUUCUAGAUGUUUCCUUUUCGGCUCUGGAAAAUUGGAAAAAAUAAUUUUUAACUAUAUAUAUUUAAAAUAUUCAGUGGCAUUAUGAUAUUGUCUGAAAGGCAUUCUGUGACUUGAUGCAAGAUCAGAAGUUUUUUUUUUUUUUUCUUGGAGAAGUAAUAAAAAGAAAAAAGAGAUCGAAGUUUUUAUCUCACAAGAUACCUCAUAUUCAGUUCUACAUACUGAAGACCUAAUCCAAGUUCUUACAUGUCUAUAGGGCAAAUGUUAACAUUUUUAAAAAGCUAUAUUUAUUUGGUAAUAUGAACAUAUGUUUGUAGAUUAGUUAGUCUACUCUUUCCAUACCUAAUAAAAGUUUAAAUUCCAGACAUGUGAAGAAAAUUUGCAGUGUGUCUCUUUGCCUUAGCUAACUGCAAAAAUUGAAAUCACAACCCUACCAUAGACCCAAACGUGUUUCCAAUUGAGAAAGUCUUCUACCUUCACAGCCUCUAAGUAAUAUAGUGGUUAUUUGUUUGAAGGAUGUGAGAGUAUUUGGUUGAGAAACUGUAGAAUGACAUAACAAAUUUUAGUUAAAAUGUUAGUUAUGGUUGACUCUGUACUUCUGAUAUCCUGGAUUUGUAUAUGAGAGCAAUGCUAGUAAGAUGCCUGCUUCUGAAUGCAAGUUUGGCUGGGAAGACAGCAGAGAAAUAGAGGAAAUAUUAUAAAGUAAUGGAGAAACCUCAAAACAGUACAGCAUGGAUGUUGACUUUGAAAACAACAGCUGCUGACGUGAACUUGGCAGAAAUUUGUGAGUAAUAGUGGGUGACUCAUUGCAAGCAGGGGAGUCUUGCAGCUUUUGAGGUGAACAGGCAAAGGGGACAACAGUGAUGGUGGCCACCCAAGGGCCAAGUGUUUAUGUCCUAAAUGUCAAAAUGUCUUUGAUCUCCUGUUAAACUUUGCAGCUGCAUCAUUCACAUGAAUAGUUGCAUUUUUUUUUUUUCUAAAAAUGCAACAUAUUUUCUAAAGCAUUUGUUUUUAAUCUGGGAUGAUUCUGAGGUGGGAGGUAAGUUGGUGGCAGGACAUAUUACAUGAUUUUUGUUAUUGUUAUUAUUUUUAAAAAUCACACAUUGCUGGCUUUCCCCUAUACUCCUGGAGAUGCCAUCAUGUAUGUAUAGCUAAUUCUAAAAAGGGCUUGUGUGACUCUUCAUAUGAGAAGGGGUGGUUAUUUGUGGCUUGAAAAAAUUGCUUGGGUGAUUCUGAUCUUUCUCUUUCGCUCUGCUGAAAAGCAUUGUUUCAAAGCCAAUAAUAAAUAUCUAAAGAAGUUUUACUUCAUUUCUGCGGUGUUCUCAGAAUUGUUACAGUAGGUUUAAACCUUUGCCUGGUUUGGAAAUCUUGACUAUUUGAGGGAGACAGCCCUGUUAGAGUCUUUAUUUUCUUCCUGUCUGAGAAUUCAGUUAUCAUCAAUAGUGUAUUCUUAGGCAGAGUCAGAAAGUCACCUCAUCUGAGAAGCCACCUGUGUCCACAGCUGGGAAUUUGCAGAAGUCAGUCACUGAAGGAAGGCUUUAGGAUAUUUAUGAUAAAACAUAGCAGUACGCUGGGAUCCAAACCCUGGGAAACCUCAACUAUUUUAGAGUAUGUGUUGAUAACAAUAGGCUAUUGGAUAAUUGCCAGACUACUUGAGGAGUCUAAGAGUUGGAUAAAGACUUAAAGGUGAAAGGAACUUGGAAAAAUAUCUUCUUCAGGUAUUUUAAGGGAGACAGUUCUCAGAAUGAGAAGCUUUUCUGGAAAAGGUUAGCACUUUGCUUCAGAAGAGAAGCAGGGCAAAGGUGUAAUUCUUCAUUUAAUGUGGUACAACCUAAAGGGUAAACCUUAACCUCUCACUUACACACAUACCCACACACUUGCAUUCUUUUGAUCAGAUUUGUAUUUUAGAAGGCUUCAUUUGUCGCCAAAUGUGGGUGAUACUUGAGGGACCCCUUGGAGGAGAAGGCUAAUUAGAUAUUACUGUAACCUUGCUGAGAAAUGACUGAAACUAAGAUGGUAGAAGUGAGAUUGGAGAAAAGAGAACCACAGAAAUGUGGCAACACACUAGGUGGCUGUCAGAGAUUUGAUUAGCAAACAAGACAGUAGAUGUCAGCUGUGUUAGAUGGGUGUAUAUCUCCCAAGAGCAUCGGGGCACAGAAUUCCCUUUUCAACUAGCUUAUCUAUAUGGGAUAUCAACUAUUGAAAUACAGAUAAAGUCCCCUAAUGGCAUCCUGUCCAUCAGAGAUUGAAAUUUGCUUCAGUAAAUGUGUCUAUCCUUUUCAAUAGGAAUUUGCCUCUUAAAUCAUCUCACAUUUAAGUAGGAUCACUCUCUUUAGUAACUUAAAUUGACUUUUUAAUAUCUACGUUUAUUCAUUCAUCCAUCCUUUUCUACCCAUAAGUCGAACAGGCAAAAUUUAUGGAGUUUAAAUGAAAUAUAAAUUAUUUUUCAUCUUUAUCUUUCACUAGGAGAAGUUUUAUUCCUGGGCCUGCAUUAAAAACCUAGGCAGCCCUAUGAUUUUUCUGGUCAUUCAAGUAAUAAAUGUUUUAUCAGAGCCUCUGAGUUGCACAACUCCAGGGGGCAACAUUUGCAUUGUAAUCUUUAUAAAUGGAGUCUCCUGGAGCCCAGCUUCAAUAGAUUGUAAUGGGAUGGUGCCCCUAUAGUUUUGCAACAUAGUCCUUGUGGCCUAAGUUCACUUUAAUAUAAAAAAAUCAGUCUUGAUUCAGUAUUUACUAUAUUUGUCUAAUAUAUUCAAAAUUAAGAGUUCUCCUCCCCAGCCCACUACCUAGCUGUAGGCAGGCCCCAAGACCUGGCUGUAGGCAGGCCAGCAGUCUUCAAGGAAGAAUAUGCCAUAAACCUUCAUGCUUAACCCCUCUAGGAUUGGAGGGUAGGGUAAAGAGCAGAGAGUUAGGGGCCCUGCAACCACCCAGGCUCUCAAUCUAACUCUCCAAGUGUGGCAGUGCCUCAGUUUCAGUUGGCCACUCUCUGUGCCCUUCAAUUUCUGUCUUGCAAGAGUAUAUCCCAAAGCUAUUUAUUUCUAGGUUGCCUCAGCCCUCACAGACUACACUCUUGGACAGAAAACCUUUUUAAAUAACCCUAGGCUGAUAUUUCUACCUCUUGUUCUUCAUCUAGUCCCUAGAAUUCACAUACUUUUGACCCACUAUUAAAACAGCAUACACUACCUUCCUGGUCUCCCACCUCUAUCCUGCUGUCGUAGGCUGCUUUAUCAGGCUCUGAUAAGGGUCAGGCAUUACCUUGUAUGCCCCCAGUCAGGGCUGUGACUAGAGUGGAACUAGUAAUACAUGUCUUUUGAGUGCAGAAUUUAAGAAAGUACCAGAAAACUCAGUAAUUAAGAUGAACAUGUCUUUUUUUUUUUUUUUUUUUUUUGAGAUGGAAUCUUACUCUGUUUCCCAGGCUGAAGUGCAGUGGCACAGUCUCGGCUCACUGCAACCACCACCUCCUGGGUUCAAGCGAUUCUCCUGCCUCAGCCUCCCAAGUAGCUAGGAUUACAGGCACACCAUGCCUAACUAAUUUUUGUAUUUGUAGUACAGACGGGAUUUUGCCAUGUUGGCCAGGCUGGUCUUGAACUUGCAACCUCAGGUGAUCUGCCCACUUCGGCCUCCCAAAGUGCUGGGAUCACAGGUGUGAGCCACUGUGCCCGGCCAAGAUAAACAUAUCUUAAGAAAAUUUUUAAAAAUAAUUAUUAAUAUAAAAAACCAUGAUGAACAAGAUACCAAAAAUUUAAAUACAAGAUUGUGCAGGAAAUACUUAUGGAGUUUAGUGACUAUCUUGAAAUGUAGUACAUACAACCAUCAUCACUGUUCCUUCACAGUACAUUUAUUUUUCCACUGAAAUAAUCCUCACAAAAUUCUCUCAAGUACCAUAAUCUUACAUAUCUAUGUUGUGGGUAUUAGAACUUAAUAUCAGUCACCAUCCUUGAAAUUUAGGCUCUCUGGUCCAACACUUCACUUUGAAAUGUAUUUUGUAUAUUGUUGUAUCAGUCAAAAUUUCCAAUUUAAAUUACAGUUAUCCAUCCAUCCAUCCAUCCAUCCAUCCAUCCAUCCACUUAUCCAUCAGUCCAUCUGUCCAUUUAUUUAUUGGGUUUAUGUAUGAAGGAGAAAAAAUAGAAUCUUCAAAUGCUAAUGAUUAAUCCAUUUUAACGACUAUAAAAUGGAAAUGUGUACAGUUACAAAGGCAUACUAAGUUGGUCUGCCUCAUCAAAUAGGCCUGGGCAAAAAUUGGUAGGUAAAAUUAAAGGGAAUCACAGUGCAUUUUACUCUCAUAAUCUCUGUUAGAAAUGUCCCACUAAACAUGUUAUGUUACCAACUCUUCUAUUAUGCCCUCAUCUCUACCUCUAUAGAUUUAGCCUUUGUGAGCUAUUCUGAAACAGCUUAUUCCACAGCUUCUGGUCAAUUUUUAGACAAUGUAAAUAGAGAUCCACCUUCAGAUAUAUACCGGUAAGUCUGGUCUUGUUCAGAGAACAAUUAAGGACCUUCAAGCUAGUGAAUUGUCAAUUCCUUUGUAAAAAGUGUUUUAUUAACCUUCAGCUACCUUGGAGGUAGUUGUUGACAGAGCAUUAUAUUAAAACUUGUAUUAAAGAAUACAGAUAUGCAUUGUAUUAGAGGCUUUAGGACUUUUUUCAAUCUACCCAUCUGACAAAGGGCUACUACCCAGAAUCUACAAAGAACUUAAACAAAUUUACAGGGAAAAAAUCAAACAACCCCAUCAAAAAGUGGGCAAAGGAUAUCAACAGACAACUUCUCAAAAGAAGACAUUUAUGCAGCCAAAAGACACAUGAAAAAAUGCUCGUCAUCACUGGCCAUCAGAGAAAUGCAAAUCAAAACCAUAAUGGGAUACCAUCUCACACCAGUUAGAAUGGCAAUCAUUAAAAAGUCAGGAAACAACAGAUGCUGGAGAGGAUGUGGAGAAAUAGGAAUGCUUUUACACUGUUGGUGAGAGUGUAAACCAGUUCAACCAUUGUGGAAGACAGUGGGGCAAUUCCUCAAGGAUCUAGAACUAGAAAUAUCAUUUGACCCAGCCAUCCCAUUACUGGGUAUAUACCCAAAGGAUUAUAAAUCAUGCUACUAUAAAGACACAUGCACAUGUAUGUUUAUUGCGGCACUAUUAACAAUAGCAAAGACUUGGAACCAACCCAAUGUCCAUCAGUGAUAGACUGGAUUAAGAAAAUGUGGCACAUACACACCAUGGAAUAUUAUGCAGCCAUAAAAAAGGAUGAGUUCAUGUCCUUUGCAGGGACAUGGAUGAAGCUGGAAACCAUCAUUCUGAGCAAACUAUCACAAGGACAGAAAACCAAACAUGGCAUCUUCUUACUCAUAGGUGGGAAUUGAACAAUGAGAACACUUGGACACAGGGCGGGAAAUAUCACACACUGGGGCCUGUCGUGGGGUGGGGGAAUGGGAGAGGCAUAGCACUGGGAGAAAUACCUAAUGUAAAUGACGAGUUAAUGGGUGCAGCAAACCAACGUGGCACAUGUAUACAUAUGUAACAAACCUGCACGUUGUGCACAUGUACCCUAGAGCUUAAAGUAUAAAAAAAAAAGAAAGAAAAGAGAAUACAUCCCAAUCAGCCAAGGGAGGGUUAGGGGUGAUUCCAGUCCACCUUGAAUUCAAAUUUGUUACUGUAUUUAAAUAAAUAAAUAAUGAAGUCCUUUGUACGUAGACAAGACAAUAUUUCUGAAAGAGGAGUUUUUUGUUUCCCAGCAUUUUCUUCACUCUACUAAGACACCUAAACCAAUAGGUAUUAAUCGGCUUAGGAAAGAUAUGUAAUAGCAGAAAAGAGAGGAAAAAAUGGAAACUCUUUUUAGCUUUGUCUUUUGAAAUUUAGCUCCUUAGAGUAACACAAAGGAUCAUGACAACAUUCUUGAACAGUAUGAGCAGACCUUUUCUAUCAGCCUCCCUUACCAACUACAAACAGAUUCUCCAUAUCUGGGGGGAAAAAAGUUAAAGGGGAAGUGAUAACGGUAUGAUACCAGUGUGUCUGGGAGAGUCUGCCUGUCAGGCUUCUGACCCCAAACUAAGCCAUCAUAUUCUCUGUGACCUACACGUAUACAUCCAGAUGGCCUGAAGCAACUGAAGACCCACGAAAGUGAAAAUAGCCUUAACUGAUGACAUUCCACCAUUGUGAUUUGUUCCUGCCCCACCCUAACUGAUAAGAUAUAUUCUCCCCUGCCCUUAAGAAGGUACUUUGUAAUAUUCUCCCCUGCCCUUAAAAAGAUACUUUGUAAUAUUCUCCCCACCCUUGAGAAUGUACUUUGUAUACCUAUCCCAAAUCUGUAAGAACUAAUGUUAAUCCCACCAUCCUUUGCUGACUCUCUUUUCGGACUCAGCCCGCCUGUACCCAGGUGAAAUAAACAGCCUUGUUGCUCACACAAA